rnacentral:rRNA from 1 species
AUUGAACGCUGGCGGAAUGCUUUACACAUGCAAGUCGAACGGUAGAGGGGGCAACCCCUCGAGAGUGGCGAACGGGUGAGUAAUAUAUCGGAACGUGCCCAGUCGUGGGGGAUAACGUAGCGAAAGUUACGCUAAUACCGCAUACGAUCUAUGGAUGAAAGCGGGGGAUCGCAAGACCUCGCGCGAUUGGAGCGGCCGAUAUCAGAUUAGGUAGUUGGUGGGGUAAAGGCUCACCAAGCCAACGAUCUGUAGCUGGUCUGAGAGGACGACCAGCCACACUGGAACUGAGACACGGUCCAGACUCCUACGGGAGGCAGCAGUGGGGAAUUUUGGACAAUGGACGCAAGUCUGAUCCAGCCAUUCCGCGUGCAGGAUGAAGGCCCUCGGGUUGUAAACUGCUUUUGUACGGAACGAAAAGGUUUCUCUUAAUACGAGGAGCUCAUGACGGUACCGUAAGAAUAAGCACCGGCUAACUACGUGCC